GACGAACGCUGGCGGCGUGCUUAACACAUGCAAGUCGAACGGAAAGGCCCUGCUUUUGUGGGGUGCUCGAGUGGCGAACGGGUGAGUAACACGUGAGUAACCUGCCCUUGACUUUGUGAUAACUUCAGGAAACUGGGGCUAAUACCGGAUAGGAGCUCCUGCUGCAUGGUGGGGGUUGGAAAGUUUCGGCGGUUGGGGAUGGACUCGCGGCUUAUCAGCUUGUUGGUGGGGUAGUGGCUUACCAAGGCUUUGACGGGUAGCCGGCCUGAGAGGGUGACAGGCGAAAUUGGGACUGAGAUACGGCCCAGACUCCAACGGGAGGCAGCAGUGGGGAAUAUUGCACAAUGGGCGGAAGCCUGAUGCAGCAACGCCGCGUGCGGGAUGACGGCCUUCGGGUUGUAAACCGCUUUCGCCUGUGACGAAGAGUGAGUGACGGUAAUGGGUAAAGAAGCACCGGCUAACUACGUG
rnacentral:rRNA from 1 species